rnacentral:ncRNA from 1 species
GAAACGGCAAACUUGUCGAAAGGCAAGGACGCAAAGCUCCAGGUCUAAGGUGUAUAUAUGCACUAAGAUGGCUGAGUUGCC